AGGGGUGUAGCCAAGCGGUAAGGCACCGGAUUUUGAUUCCGGCUACCGAAGGUUCGAUUCCUUCCACCCCUGCCA
rnacentral:tRNA from 8 species